rnacentral:rRNA from 1 species
GAUGAACGCUGGCGGCGUGCUUAACACAUGCAAGUCGAACGGAAAGGCCUCAGCUUGCUGGGGUACUCGAGUGGCGAACGGGUGAGUAACACGUGGGUGAUCUGCCCUGCACUUUGGGAUAAGCUUGGGAAACUGGGUCUAAUACCGAAUAUGACCACUUCUUGGAUGUUGUGGUGGAAAGCUUUUGCGGUGUGGGAUGAGCCUGCGGCCUAUCAGCUUGUUGGGGGGGUAAUGGCCUACCAAGGCGGCGACGGGUAUCCGGCCUGAGAGGGGGUACGGACACAUUGGGACUGAGAUACGGCUCAGACUCCCACGGGAGGCAGCAGUGGGGAAUAUUGCACAAUGGGCGCAAGCCUGAUGCAGCGACGCCGCGUGGGGGAUGAAGGCCUUCGGGUUGUAAACUCCUUUCGCUAUCGACGAAGCCACUUGUGGUGACGGUAGGUAGAUAAGAAGCACCGGCUAACUACGUGCCAGCAGCCGCCGUAA